rnacentral:lncRNA from 1 species
GCAGGCCCUGCCAGAAUCUGCACAGAGCAGCAGCUCCACGAGGAACGGGCUGGCCUGCUGACCUCAGAGCACCUCUAGAGGACGUUCUGGCUCAUUCCUGCCCUGCCAGAGGCUCUGACCUGUGUCCUUGGGGCUGCUCAGCAGAGGUCGUGGUCCACGCCGAGGCCUGCUCCUGUUGCUCAGCAGGCGUGCCCACCUCAGCCCCACACAAACCGUCGCUGCUGCUGUGCGGCCCUCAGCAACCUCAGAGGAGGAGCCUGGGCAGAACGAGAAGUGGACCUCAGGACACACUCUCACUCUGUGUGGCCAAUCCUGACAGCAAUGCCACCUCGAGCUCUGGGAGGGGAGAAGUCAGCAGUGUAUCCCUCGCAACUCCAGCUCCUGGAUGUUCUCAACGUGUGGAGUGAGCGCCUUCGUUCCCGCUAACCUGUGGGCAUUUCUGCAGUCCUAAGAUAAGGUGAAAAACCCCUGGGAGUCACACCUGGCCACAGAGCAUCACCUGACAGCCGCCAGCCAGGACUCUUGGGUUCAGAAGGAGUGACAGUGAGCUGGCAGACGGCCACCCCCAGAGAGUCUCUCCUGGAUGCCUGGUCCCCGAGUGUGCUGCCUGUGUGGAGGGGCUGCUGGAAGCUGGGGUGGUGCACACCGUGCAGAGAUGGGCAUUCCCAGGGGAAGGCCCACUUCAGCAGCACCUGCUGACCCCUCUACCAGAGUCAGCCCCGAGGGCAUGGGCCAGGGAGACCCGGAUAGAACCAGGGAAACCUGUCAGCACAUGCAUGACUAACCUUCUCUGUCUUGGCCUGUUCCCAAGUCCCAGUUGUGUGUUUUUAGCAUAACAUGCUGUGAGAGGGGACAGCCCAGAGCCUUGUGGUGGCUUUCUUGAUGCCACCAGUACUUACAACAGCCAUUCAGUGAACAGACUAAACCAAGUACAAACAUGCCUUUGGACGCCCUGGCGAGACUGGCACUCAGACCCAAGUGGGCCAGUACUUAGCAUAAGACGAAGUGUGUUGAGCAGAACCAUUGAAAUCAGCACAACACACCAGGCCAACACUCCACGCCGGCACCUGGCCUCUGCAGCAGCCCAGCUUCACAGACAAGCAUAGAUCAGACGCAUCCCUCAGAAAAUGGUUUCAUUUAUAACCAAUACUGUCACCAAAGUGCACUUGGAGUCAUAGGUAUGUUGCAAAAGAGGAAAAACCAAACCCCAAACCAAACUCUCCUAUGGAAGUGGCUGCUGUGGUCUGCAAGCUUGGGACCCCCCUUGAAAACCCCCAUGAUGCUGUCCCAGCCCACAUGGUGACGGUGUUCAGCUUAGGUCAUGAGGACAUAGCCCUCACGAAUGGGACUAGUGCCCUUCCAAAGGAGGCCCAAGAGCGCUCCCUUACCCUUCCUCCGGUGAAACAGCAGAUGCCCGCCAUCUUGAAGUAGACAACUGGACUGCACCAGAAUCUCUAGCACCCCUUGAUCCUGAACUUUCCAGCCUUCAGGGACACACAAAGCAGACUUUGUUGUUUAUAAGCCACACAUCAGUGACAGUUUGUUAUAGCAACUGAAAUCAAAAUAGGACAGAAAUUCGGUACUGUUGUAAUUUGGGUAUGAGGUGUGGCCCAAAAUCGCCUGUGUUGAUGCAGGAAUGUUCAGAGGUGAAAUGGUUGGUCGUGAGGUCUGUGACCUAUCAGUCCAUCCUGCUUUGAAUGGACCAACUGGGUGGCAGCCAUAGGCAGGUGAGGUGCGGCCAGAGGAACUGGGUCCUGGG